rnacentral:rRNA from 1 species
UGGCGGCGUGCCUAAUACAUGCAAGUCUAUCGGACCAAAUCGGAGCUUGCUCUGAUUUGGUCAGCGGCGGACGGGUGAGUAACACGUGGGCAACCUGCCCGCAAGACCGGGAUAACUCCGGGAAACCGGAGCUAAUACCGGAUAACACCGAAGACCGCAUGGUCUUUGGUUGAAAGGCGGCCUUUGGCUGUCACUUGCGGAUGGGCCCGCGGCGCAUUAGCUAGUUGGUGAGGUAACGGCUCACCAAGGCGACGAUGCGUAGCCGGCCUGAGAGGGUGACCGGCCACACUGGGACUGAGACACGGCCCAGACCCCUACGGGAGGCAGCAGUAGGGAAUCUUCCGCAAUGGGCGAAAGCCUGACGGAGCGACGCCGCGUGAGCGAAGAAGGCCUUCGGGUCGUAAAGCUCUGUUGUGAGGGACGAAGGAGCGCCGUUUGAACAAGGCGGCGCGGUGACGGUACCUCACGAGGAAGCCCCGGCUAACUACGUGCCAGCAGCCGCGGUAAUACGUAGGGGGCGAGCGUUGUCCGGAAUUAUUGGGCGUAAAGCGCGCGCAGGCGGUCUCUUAAGUCUGAUGUGAAAGCCCACGGCUCAACCGUGGAGGGUCAUUGGAAACUGGGGGACUUGAGUGCAGGAGAGGAGAGCGGAAUUCCACGUGUAGCGGUGAAAUGCGUAGAGAUGUGGAGGAACACCAGUGGCGAAGGCGGCUCUCUGGCCUGCAACUGACGCUGA